rnacentral:rRNA from 1 species
CAAUAGCGUAUAUUUAAGUUGCUGCAGUUAAAAAGCUCGUAGUUGGAUUUCGGGUGGGAAUGGCCGGUCCGCCGUUUCGGUGUGCACUUGCUACGCCCACCUUGCUGCCGGGGACGUGCUCUUGAGUUCACGCUCGGGACACGGAGUCGGCGAGGUUACUUUGAGUAAAUUAGAGUGUUCAAAGCAGGCCUACGCUCUGAAUACAUUAGCAUGGAAUAACACGAUAGGACUCUGGCCUAUCUUGCUGGUCUGUAGGACCGGAGUAAUGAUUAAGAGGGACAGUCGGGGGCAUUCGUAUUUCAUUGUCAGAGGUGAAAUUCUUGGAUUUAUGAAAGACGAACUACUGCGAAAGCAUUUGCCAAGGAUGUUUUCAUUAA